rnacentral:tRNA from 1 species
UAAAUUUUAAGUUAUAUAAACUUAAAGCCUUCAAAGCUUUUAAAGAGUCCUCUCAAAUUUAU